GAUGAACGCUGGCGGCGUGCCUAAUACAUGCAAGUCGAGCGAACAGACGAGGAGCUUGCUCCUCUGACGUUAGCGGCGGACGGGUGAGUAACACGUGGAUAACCUACCUAUAAGACUUGGAUAACUUCGGGAAACCGGAGCUAAUACCGGAUAAUAUAUUGAACCGCAUGGUUCAAUAGUGAAAGACGGUUUUGCUGUCACUUAUAGAUGGAUCCGCGCCGCAUUAGCUAGUUGGUAAGGUAACGGCUUACCAAGGCAACGAUGCGUAGCCGACCUGAGAGGAUGAUCGGCCACACUGGAACUGAGACACGGUCCAGACUCCUACGGGAGGCAGCAGUAGGGAAUCUUCCGCAAAGGGCGAAAGCCUGACGGAGCAACGCCGCGUGAGUGAUGAAGGUCUUCGGAUCGUAAAACUCUGUUAUUAGGGAAGAAAAAAUGUGUAAGUAACUAUGCACGUCUUGACGGUACCUAAUCAGAAAGCCACGGCUAACUACGUG
rnacentral:rRNA from 1 species